AAUCUGCUUCAGAUUCAGAACUACCAUCAGGCCUGCAGACAGAGUCAGUUUUAAAUGGCGGUCAAAUAGCUGGAAUCGUAGUUGGUUGUGUUUGCUUUGCUGUAUUAAUUAUAGCAGUAGCAAUUUGGUUUUGUACAUUAAGAAUAAAGUCGAGGAGAGGAUGACAGCAUCAAUGCUCAAGACGGAGAAGAGAAGCAUAUAAUUACCUGAAUCAUAUAUAAAUUUUCAAUUGACUAAAUAUAUAAACAAGUCGAUGUAAUAUGUUGCACAUGGUACAUGUACAUCUUUAAGAGAUUAUCGGAACUGUAUUGUUUUUGCUUCGUUUUGCAUUGACAAAUGUUUUUGG